rnacentral:rRNA from 1 species
CGGGACCUCAGGUCAGGC